rnacentral:tRNA from 1 species
GGAGAAAUGGCAGAGUGGUCGAUCGCGGCGGUCUUGAAAACCGUUGUGCCUGCGAGGGCACCGGGGGUUCGAAUCCCUCUUUCUCCGCCA